rnacentral:rRNA from 1 species
GAUGAACGCUGGCGGCGUGCCUAAUACAUGCAAGUCGAGCGAACAGGCGAGGAGCUUGCUCCUCUGACGUUAGCGGCGGACGGGUGAGUAACACGUGGAUAACCUACCUAUAAGACUGGGAUAACUUCGGGAAACCGGAGCUAAUACCGGAUAAUAUAUUGAACCGCAUGGUUCAAUAGUGAAGGACGGUUUUGCUGUCACUUAUAGAUGGAUCCGCGCCGCAUUAGCUAGUUGGUAAGGUAACGGCUUACCAAGGCAACGAUGCGUAGCCGACCUGAGAGGGUGAUCGGCCACACUGGAACUGAGACACGGUCCAGACUCCUACGGGAGGCAGCAGUAGGGAAUCUUCCGCAAUGGGCGAAAGCCUGACGGAGCAACGCCGCGUGAGUGAUGAAGGUCUUCGGAUCGUAAAACUCUGUUAUUAGGGAAGAACAAAUGUGUAAGUAACUAUGCACGUCUUGACGGUACCUAAUCAGAAAGCCACGGCUAACUACGUG